rnacentral:rRNA from 1 species
UACGUAGGGGGCAAGCGUUGUCCGGAAUUAUUGGGCGUAAAGAGCGUGUAGGCGGUCCGGUAAGUCGGCUGUGAAAGUCCAGGGCUCAACCCUGGGAUGCCGGUCGAUACUGCCGGACUAGAGUUCGGAAGAGGCGAGUGGAAUUCCCGGUGUAGCGGUGAAAUGCGUAGAGAUCGGGAGGAACACCAGAGGCGAAGGCGGCGACCUGGACAGGCACUGACACUCAACUACGAAAGCGUGGGGAGCAAACAGG